rnacentral:rRNA from 1 species
CCGACCGGCGCACGGGUGAGUAACGCGUAUGCAACUUACCCAUCAGAGGGGAGUAACCCGGCGAAAGUCGGACUAAUACCGCAUGAAGCAGGGGCCCCGCAUGGGGAUAUUUGCUAAAGAUUCAUCGCUGAUAGAUAGGCAUGCGUUCCAUUAGGCAGUUGGCGGGGUAACGGCCCACCAAACCGACGAUGGAUAGGGGUUCUGAGAGGAAGGUCCCCCACAUUGGUACUGAGACACGGACCAA